CAGUACUGGACAAGGCGGGGGAACCUUGCUGCAGUUCUGCUUUAUGGAUUUAGUUUAGUGCGGUGUAAUUCGACAUCAUGAAGGCAUUUUCCGAAUGUUUCGUUGCAGUCUUUUGCAUGAACUUUAAAUAUAAUAUCAGAAAACCAAAAGUCACCAUCAAAAAAUCUACUAAAAGAACAUGUGCUACAUCUUCAUGAGGUGAAUCUUUCUAGGAACAGUUAUUCGAUGUGCUUAGGUUACAAGUCAUGGUGAAAAACAGCUUUCCCCCAGCAAACAGUAGUACUUCAGUAUCAGCAGAAACAACCCAUUACGACAGUGAGUAAUCCACAACACAGAUCUCUCAGUUCAAAACAAGAAAAAUGUUUUAGAUGCACAAUCUGUAUCUCCAAAAUCAGCAAACAUCUUGAAGGAAGAAAAUUACUCAGAUAUUGAUGAAGCAUUUGAGUUUUGAAACAGAGUGAACAUUAAACUGAAUCCAACAUAGCACU